CUUCAAAAAGCUAAAAUUGCAGAUGGAGGAAAGAAACUAAGUGGGAGAGUUGAUCCAGAAACAUAGCUUCUCAUUACAAUCUACCUCACUUUAAUGAUAAGUGAAAAGGAUUGAGAAGAGUGCUGUAGAUUGUGAUUUGCUACCUGGGACAAUUCUGUGAUAAGAUGCCUGGGAACAGUGUCAGUGAGCGAUAUCUUCAAAACAAAGUUGAGCAACAGCACUGUAGAACAAAAACUGGGCACAAAGCAGAAAGUGUGGAUUUGUAUGGGGCACAUAUAGAAUGGGCCAAGGAAAAAUCAAGCAGAAAGAAUGUC